rnacentral:lncRNA from 1 species
AUCAAAUACUCUUUUCUCGUUUAAAAUCAAUGUUGAUGUGAUUGAAAAUAUCAGAAAUUACAAAUUAAAGCAAGUUAUGGACUGAAAUCAUCAUCAUUCUUAUAAAAUGGUUUUAUAAGGAAAUGCAAGUAACUAUUUUUUAAUGCAAGCAAAAUUACAUUUGGAAAUUGAAAUUGCUCAAUCUGACGAUAUUAUAACAUUAGACAACUGUCAACUUAAAGACUGUUGAGCGACCUCUUAAAGCUUUUACUAAAUUGUUUACCAAAAUAAUAAUUUUUAAUAAGAAUCUAAAAAAAAUGUAAUUUUGAAUUAAAUUUCAAGUCAGCAGUAAAAUGUAAAAUUGUGUGUGUGACCGUGUCAAAAGAUAACAAAAGAGAGAGAAAAAAACAAUAGAGCAAUUUGACUUGGCUUUGCAGAGGAAGAGCAAUGAACAUUCAAGACCUCUUAAACAACUAAACACAUACUUUUAGAGCCCCGAAAUUCAUAUUUUACAGUAUAUAUCAUUUCAUGAACCUUGGAGAAGACUUCUUGUAUCUGGAGUAUAUGACAAGGAGUCGGAUCUUGGUUAAAGUCUUUUUUCAUUUAAGACUCCACCAUCCUCCCGACGGAAAAUAAAUUGGCCAGGGAUUGUUUUUGAUAAAUUUGUAAAGAUGAAUGAUGUGGAGAAUGUUGAAUGAAAGCGCGCGGGAGUCGGUCAACAUAUUUUUUCAAACAAUUCUUGAGUUGAUGGAUUCCAUUACAUUGUCUAAGUUCAAUCUUUCUAUUUGUCUCUUGACAAGAUGGGUUGUGGUGAUUUCUAUGUUCGUAAAAGCUUCCAGAGCAAUAAAGAAGGGGGUCGGAGGACAAAGGCUUUUUUCCUUGGACUUGACAUUAAAUAAAAUCUUUUUGUCUCUGAGAUGAAGCUCCCUUUGAGCUAGGAGUAGGGCAACAGAGUUCAAGCCUGCUGUCCUGAAAAAUGCAUCCUUACUGCUCAAUCUGCUAUUAUAAUUAAGUACUUACUUGGAUUGAAGGAGUAUUUAAAGAUGUUUUUGGAGUUGGACUAAAUGGAAUCUCUAUGGAAAAAGGUUUUUAUUUAAUUUUUGGAAUCUGUUGAGGUAAGAUAAAGAAGUGGAACCCACUUAAUUAAUUGGUUUAUUUAUCUGGGUUUUCUGGAAGUUAAUGUAUGUAGAGUUCUGAAUUU